rnacentral:rRNA from 1 species
GUGGGGAAUCUUCCACAAUGGACGAAAGUCUGAUGGAGCAACGCCGCGUGAGUGAAGAAGGGUUUCGGCUCGUAAAGCUCUGUUGUCGGGGACGAAUGUGCAGUAUUUGAAUAAAGUACUGCAAUGACGGUACCAGACGAGGAAGCCACGGCUAACUACGUGCCAGCAGCCGCGGUAAUACGUAGGUGGCAAGCGUUGUCCGGAAUUAUUGGGCGUAAAGGGAGCGCAGGCGGGAAGGUAAGUCGGUCUUAAAAGUGCGGGGCUCAACCCCGUGAUGGGAUCGAAACUAUCUUUCUUGAGUGCAGGAGAGGAAAGUGGAAUUCCUAGUGUAGCGGUGAAAUGCGUAGAUAUUAGGAAGAACACCAGUGGCGAAGGCGACUUUCUGGACGAAAACUGACGCUGAGGCGCGAAAGCCAGGGGAGCGAACGGGAUUAGAUACCCUGGUAGUCC